rnacentral:lncRNA from 1 species
UGUACCCUUGUAUUAUGCUGAUAUGCAUUAUUAAUAAAUUAUGGUGAAAUUGAUGCAACCGUGCAUGUGCGGAGUGGGAAGUGCAAUGCCAGUUGAAUGACAAAGGAUGUGAUAAUUACGACCGUGCAUGUGCGGAGUGGGAAGUGCAAUGCCGGUUUAAUGAUAAAGGUUGUGGGGACGGCAAUACGUAACGCCCACAAUUUCCUAAAAAUUCAGAAGUGUGCAAAAAGGGAUACUGAGUGACACCCUUUACCGAGUACUCCGAUAAUUAUUUCUAUGUACCACCAAGAAUAAUGAAGACUUGGCG